GGGUGUCAGCGAUUUCCUUUAAUUAAUGAAAUCACACUUCCCUGUGAGGGCAUUUUUUUCUCUCUUUCUGAUCUUAAGAGCUGUACAGGACUACUGUGUGAAAAAAUGUAAGAGGAAUGAUGGACAGUGACUGUAAUGGGAUCACUCACUCUCAGCCACCAGUCAUGAGGACACUCAGGCAGCUGUUUGAAGAAACUGAACCUUUUUUUGAAGAGCCCCAAGGACCUGGAGUGGGGGUGGCUUCUGCCAAUAGCCAUACUGGUCCAUGGCUUCUCUGGCCCACCUGGCAAGCUCACAUCUCUUAUGUUCCAGAGAGAAAUCACAGUGAACCUGGAAUCUCAAGUGCUCAAAUUGCAAUGUUUCUAAGACUUCCAUGGCUCAACCUGGCAGGAAGUCUGGUCUUUCCUCUGAGGAUCCUCUCUUCAAGGGAAUCCAGGGGUAUCCCCAAGGAUGUGGCCAUGUGCCGCAACUCUGUCCUGGUGGUGGCCUGGCACCUUGGCCCAGCUCCUAUGCUCUGAGCCACCACUUCUGCGCACACUGGUUGCAUUCCCUGAACCAAUUCCCUCCCAACACACACCAGUCUAUUCAGCACAACUAAGGUGUCUGCCUGGGGCUCAGUGGGGUUUGCUCCCAGGGUGGUGCUUUCAGCCCAUGCCAGGGCCUCUCCCCCAACAGAUCUGAGUGGAUGACGCAACUCACCUCCCCUUAGUGGAAGUCCCCAGUGCCAUCCCAGAGGGCUCUCCCCUUCUGUACCCUACAGUUCUUCCUGCCCCUGGACACUCUACACUGGGGACAUCCAUUUCAUUCUGUGGAAACCCCCCACGCUAACCCCAUGUGGUCCAAGGACACACAGUCAGUGAAUUUAUUCAGUGCUGGCAACAUGAAGAAUACAGUCAAAUCUCUUUACAGAAAAUAUUUUCCUUACCUUUCAGGGAGCUGCAGAUGAAGAUGUAACCAAUUUGCACAGCCAACUCUAAACCCCUUGGUCUGUGAAAUAGCAUUUGGUUUCAUGGUGACCUCACAGUUUCCCCCAGAUGCUGUGUGGGUCCUGCCUUUCCAUCAGGUAAAUUUUCUAAGACAAAGGGAAUCUUCGAAAUGAGGUAGCCAUCAUCUUUCCAUCCAGAAACCAGAACUGCCAACUAUCAAAUGUGAUUCCUGUGUUAAAAGUUAAAAACUGAUCAAAUUCCUUUUUAUGGGGUACCCACAAUACCCCAGGGUAGAAUGAAUGUGUCAAGCAGCCCAGAUGUUUUAUUUCAGGGGCUGUAAACUCACAGCUGGGCUCCAUCUGGCUCACAGAAAUUUUUCCUUUGGCUCAUAAUUGACAAUCUUUCUUAUAAUUUUGAAUUGGUUGCCAUUUCAUGAGCACAUUUUAAAUAAAAGUGUGUAUGUCUA